UUAGAAGGUUAUAAAAGGAGCUGAACAAGAGGAUUCAAUUAUUCACGUUUUGGCACAAGUGGAUCACGUUUUGGAAAGAAAAAGGAACCGCACACAUUACGAGACGAUUGGAGAAGAGGCAAAGCUCAAUUCAACGCAUGCACAAAGGAACAAGCCAUAUCAAGUUUAAGCAAUUAUCAAUAUCAAACCAUUGUAAUUUCUUUUAUUUAUAUUUCUUAAUUCUUUUUAUCAUGUCUAGCUAAUUCUCUAGAUUAGAUAUGAGAUGAUUCUGAUGGA
rnacentral:lncRNA from 1 species